rnacentral:rRNA from 1 species
GUGAGGAAUUUUCCGCAAUGGGCGAAAGCCUGACGGAGCAAUGCCGCGUGAAGGAUGAAGGCCUAUGGGUUGUAAACUUCUUUUCUCAGAAAAGAAUUAUGACGGUAUCUGAGGAAUAAGCAUCGGCUAACUCUGUGCCAGCAGCCGCGGUAAGACAGAGGAUGCAAGCGUUAUCCGGAAUGAUUGGGCGUAAAGCGUCUGUAGGUUGUUUAAAAAGUAUUCUGUCAAAGAUUAGGGCUUAACCCUAGAUAGGCAGAAUAAACUUUUAAGCUAGAGUUUGGUAGAGGCAGAGGGAAUUCCCGGUGGAGCGGUGAAAUGCGUAGAGAUCGGGAGGAACACCAAAGGCGAAGGCACUCUGCUGGGCCAAUACUAACACUGAGAGACGAAAGCGAGGGGAGCAAAUGGGAUUAGAUACCCGAGUAGUCC